rnacentral:rRNA from 1 species
UACGAAGGGGGCUAGCGUUGCUCGGAAUCACUGGGCGUAAAGCGCACGUAGGCGGAUUGCUAAGUCAGGGGUGAAAUCCUGGAGCUCAACUCCAGAACUGCCUUUGAUACUGGCGACCUUGAGUCCGGGAGAGGGUGAGUGGAACUGCGAGUGUAGAGGUGAAAUUCGUAGAUAUUCGCAAGAACACCAGUGGCGAAGGCGGCUCACUGGCCCCGGUACUGACGCUGAGGUGCGAAAGCGUGGGGGAGCAAACAGG